rnacentral:rRNA from 1 species
CCUACGGGUGGCAGCAGUGGGGAAUAUUGCACAAUGGGCGCAAGCCUGAUGCAGCCAUGCCGCGUGUGUGAAGAAGGCCUUCGGGUUGUAAAGCACUUUCAGCGGGGAGGAAGGCGUUAAGGUUAAUAACCUUGGCGAUUGACGUUACCCGCAGAAGAAGCACCGGCUAACUCCGUGCCGGCAGCCGCGGUAAUACGGAGGGUGCAAGCGUUAAUCGGAAUUACUGGGCGUAAAGCGCACGCAGGCGGUCUGUCAAGUCGGAUGUGAAAUCCCCGGGCUCAACCUGGGAACUGCAUUCGAAACUGGCAGGCUAGAGUCUUGUAGAGGGGGGUAGAAUUCCAUGUGUAGCGGUGAAAUGCGUAGAGAUCUGGAGGAAUACCGGUGGCAAAGGCGGCCCCCUGGACAAAGACUGACGCUCAGGUGCGAAAGCGUGGGGAGCAAACAGGAUUAGAUACCCGUGUAGUC